rnacentral:rRNA from 1 species
GAUGAACGCUGGCGGCGUGCCUAAUACAUGCAAGUCGAGCGAACGGACGAGAAGCUUGCUUCUCUGAUGUUAGCGGCGGACGGGUGAGUAACACGUGGAUAACCUACCUAUAAGACUGGGAUAACUUCGGGAAACCGGAGCUAAUACCGGAUAAUAUUUUGAACCGCAUGGUUCAAAAGUGAAAGACGGUCUUGCUGUCACUUAUCGAUGGAUCCGCGCUGCAUUAGCUAGUUGGUAAGGUAACGGCUUACCAAGGCAACGAUGGAUAGCCGACCUGAGAGGGUGUACGGCCACACUGGAACUGAGACACGGUCCAGACUCCUACGGGAGGCAGCAGUAGGGAAUCUUGCGCAAUGGGCGAAAGCCUGACGGAGCAACGCCGCGUUAGUGAUGAAGGUCUGCGGAUCGUAAAACUCUGUUAUUAGGGAAGAACAUAUGUGUACGUAACUGUGCACAGCUUGACGGUACCUAAUCAGGAAGCCACGGCUAACUACGUG